GAUGAACGCUGGCGGCGUGCCUAAUACAUGCAAGUCGAGCGAACGGACGCGAAGCUUGCGUCUCUGAUGUUAGCGGCGGGCGGGUGAGUAACACGUGGAUAACCUACCUAUAAGACUGGGAUAACUUCGGGAAACCGGAGCUAAUACCGGAUAAUAUUUUGAACCGCAUGGUUCAAAGGUAAGAGACGGUCUUGCUGUCACUUAUAGAUGGAUCCGCGCUGCAUUAGCUGGUUGGUAAGGUAACGGCUUACCAAGGCAACGAGGCAUAGCCGACCGGAGAGGGUGAUCGGCCACACUGGAACGUGGACAGGGUCCAGAGGCCUACGGGAGGCAGCAGUAGGCAAUCGUCCGCAGUGGGGGAAAGCCUGACGGAGCAAGGCGGCGUGAGUGAUAGCGGUCUUCGGAGCGUAAAACUCUGUUAUUAGGUAAGAACAUAUGUGUAAGUAACUGUGCACAGCGUGACGGUAACUAAUCAGAAAGCCACGGCUAACUACGUG
rnacentral:rRNA from 1 species